GUGCCAGCAGCCGCGGUAAUACAGAGGUGGCAAGCGUUGUUCGGAAUUACUGGGCGUAAAGGGCGCGUAGGCGGUCGAUUAAGUCCCGUGUGAAAUCCCUCGGCUCAACUGAGGAACUGCACGGGAAACUGGCUGACUUGAGUUCGGGAGAGGGAAGCGGAAUUCCGGGUGUAGCGGUGAAAUGCGUAGAUAUCCGGAGGAACACCGGUGGCGAAGGCGGCUUCCUGGACCGAUACUGACGCUGAGGCGCGAAAGCUAGGGGAGCAAACGGGAUUAGAAACCCUGGUAGUCC
rnacentral:rRNA from 1 species